GACAGAGGGUGCAAACGUUGCUCGGAAUCACUGGGCGUAAAGGGCGCGUAGGCGGGAAUGUAAGUCGGGCGUGAAAUCCCCAGGCUCAACCUGGGAACUGCACUCGAAACUGCGUUUCUUGAGUAUCGGAGAGGAAAGCGGAAUUCCUGGUGUAGAGGUGAAAUUCGUAGAUAUCAGGAGGAACACCAGUGGCGAAGGCGGCUUUCUGGACGGUAACUGACACUGAGGAACGAAAGCCAGGGGAGCAAACGGG
rnacentral:rRNA from 1 species